rnacentral:rRNA from 1 species
ACUCCUACGGGAGGCAGCAGUGGGGAAUAUUGCACAAUGGGCGCAAGCCUGAUGCAGCCAUGCCGCGUGUGUGAAGAAGGCCUUGGGUUGUAAAGCACUUUCAGUCGUGAGGAAGGUGGUAGUGUUAAUAGCACUAUCAUUUGACGUUAGCGACAGAAGAAGCACCGGCUAACUCCGUGCCAGCAGCCGCGGUAAUACGGAGGGUGCGAGCGUUAAUCGGAAUUACUGGGCGUAAAGCGCAUGCAGGUGGUUUGUUAAGUUCAGAUGUGAAAGCCCGGGGCUUAACCUCGGAAUAGCAUUUGAAACUGGCAGACUAGAGUACUGUAGAGGGGGUUAGAAUUUCAGGUGUAGCGGUGAAAUGCGUAGAGAUCUGAAGGUAAUACCGGUGGCGAAGGCGGUCCCCCUGGACAGAUACUGACACUCAGAUGCGAAAGCGUGGGAGCAAACGAGGAUUAGAUACCCCGUGGUAGGACAGGU